rnacentral:lncRNA from 1 species
AGCCUGUUAAGAAUGUAGAGGAUUGUGACCUAGCUCCACUGGCCUCUGCUGUCGUCUCGCCGUUGUUAUAAAAGAUGUAGUCAUGGAUGAUAAGACACACGUGAGUGGACACAGCGUUGGGGCAAUAAGCACAUUUUAGAGUAGGUGUGAAAGGUUUCCAUUGAGCUUACUGAUGUACGCAUAGUUCGAUCAACAUUUGUGAUGGUUGUAAUAUAUAUAUCUGACAUAAAUAUUCUUUCAUCGGUGAUGAGUAAC